GUUUCACCUGCCCCCACUGCGGCAAGGUGUGCAAGACAGCAGCUGCCCUGAGCCGCCAUGGGCAGAGGCAUGCUGCUGAGCGGCCCGGGGGCACCCCCACACCUGUCAUUGCCUAUUCCAAGGGCAGCACUGGCACCAGGCCUGGGGAUGUCAAGGAGGAGGCCCCCCCAGGAGAUGCAAGUGUCCUCGUCCAGUGGGGAGGCAGGUGGCGGGAGUGCUGCUGCUGAGGGAGCAUCUGAAACUGCCUCACUCCAGGACCCUGUCAUCUCCGGGGGGUGAGGAGCCCCCAGUGGCAGGGGUGGGUAGCUAUGUGUACCCACCUGUGCAGGAAUUUCCACUGGCCCUAAUAGGGGGCAGCCGGGAGCCUGGUGGAGGUAGAGGAAAACCUGGGAGUGAGGGGACAGUGGGAGGAGGUUCAGAGGGGAGACCGGAUGGAGGGGAUGGGGGCUGCCAAAGUCACCUUCUAUCCUGAACCUUACCCACUUGUCUAUGGUCCCCAGCUCCUUGCUGCCUACCCUUACAACUUCAGCAACCUGGCCGCUCUCCCAGUUGCUUCUCAACAUGGUCCUACCUGAUGAGAAAGGUGGAGGGGCCCUUCCCUUCCUACCAGGGGUCUUUGGCUACACAGUGAACCCUCAAGCCACACCCUCUACUCCCCCAACUCCACCUCCCCCAACCCUUCCUCCACCAGUUCCCCCUAAGGGAGAAGGGGAAAGGGCAGGGGUUGAGAGAACACAGAAGGGAGAUGUAGGGUGAGCUCUAGGGCCAGACCCCCCUUUCACCAAAUGCCACCCUCCCUGAACCUCCCACCACUAUCAGCUCCCUGGCCUCCCUGCCCUUCGGGAGCCCUGCCACAUUUUUGUGCAGGGACUUGGGGGCCCCUGGAGCUCAGGGGUCAGGCUGCUUUGCGUGAGAUUGUAGUUUUCCCAGCUCUUGGGAAGGGAUCUUUGGUGGUUCCCCUCUCAAUCUUCCUCCAGGGAAUGGCCCCCAUGAGGGGCAGGGCCAGAUCCCAUCCUUCUCUAGCCCUUGGGGCAACUGAGCAAUAUAUACUUACCUGAAUCUCUCUACUCACAGCCCCCACCAGCUCUGAAUGUCUAACCUGCUCCCCUGAUUCAUAAAUCUAAGGGGAAACCAUCUCUCUUAGCUAAAGAUCCCCUUCAUUUUGAAGCUUUCUCUAAGCCUUCUCCAGAUGCUUCCUAGCACAUUCCAUUUUUUAUGGCCCAGGGCCUGGACCAGACCAUUGUGAUACUCAACCUACCCACAUGGGAGCAUGGCUUUGGAUUCCAUUCUUCCUAAGGAUGGGUUUCUUUGUCCCUGUUUCCUUCACAUCAAGAUGCCAUGCCUUCCUUGGCUUCCAUGCCUUUGGAUCUUCCAUGUUCCUUCCUGUAGUCCUAGAAUUUGGAGAUGGCCUCACCCAACCCAGGUCAAGGAGGUGUUGAGGAGAGGGCUACCCCUCUCUUCCAUGGCUGAGCAUUUUUCCAGCCCAGGCCAGGGAAAUCUUGACCCCUCAAAUCCAGUAAGCCCAAGAUUUGCACAUGACCUUCAAUCCUUACCUUUACCUCCAUCUUCCCAAGUGUGGCUCUCCUCAUCACUCCAGAUGGUUUUGGGGGAACCGUCCUACUCUUCUGGUGGGCUUUGGGGUAUCCCCACCAAUUUUCCCUCCAAAAUAGCACCUUACACCCCAUCUUUGACUCAGUUCCCCACACCCAAAGAUCCCAACCUAGGGAUGGGGUGCAGGGACCUUAAAUAGUCCCUAAUCCCUAAUUUGCACUAGUUAACCCUGGUCAGGGGUCCCUAUAUUUCCUUCCAGUGGGGGAGAUGAAGAAAUGUUUGCUCCUAAUUCUCUUUGAAAACAGGGCCUUCCUGCUCUGUGAUUGACAUUUCCCAUCCAACCCACCUCUCCCACAAAACAAAACAAAACAGCUCAUAGGGGAGAGCCAAUUUGGGGGAGCAAAUUUGACCAAUGGGAAUUAGAGGAGUGCAGUUUUAAAAGAGGGAAAGUUUGUUGUCAUUCAAAUGGCAGCCUUUCUCCCAGCUACUGUUUUUAGGGGCCAAGAUGGCUGCCUUCUCAGGAACUGCUGAGAGGGCAAGAUCAUGGCUUUUGGAGGGAGGUGAAUUUGGGGAGGACUAGGAGCAUCCUCCUGCUUCCUCCCUACCCUCCCGGCCUAUAGGAAGGGGGAGGUGUUUGACAGGCUCCCUGAAUGUUAAUCUUGGAGGAGUCAUUCCUCCAUUCCUCCUGUCUCUUUGCACUUUUCUUGGUCUUGGCCACAGCCUGAGUGAAGAAUUUCCUACUGAAUGUACCAACUUCCAAUUUUUAAGGAGGAAAAAGUUUCAAAUGGGAAAAAAUACAAAAAAAAAAAAAAAAAAAAAAAAAAUCACAAAAAUUCCCACAAAUCUUGUUUCUGGCACUUUAGAAAAAUUGCAAAAAAAUACAUAAUAAAGACAUAUAUAUCUACACACAAAUCAUAUAUAUAUAUAUAUAUAUAUAUAUAUAUAUAUAUAUAUAUAUAUAUAUAAGGCGGAACCACAAGAGACUGAGGAAAGCCUAGAGGCAGGGGACAGAUAUAAUGACAGUCCCCCUGUAACCUUCACCUGCACUCCUCUGAGGCAAACAGGCACAGGAGAAUGGAAGAGGUUGAGAAUGGACUGGGAAAUUUGAAUUUCAGAAUAGGUCAAAAUUCCAAAACCAUGGACAUUUUGGAAGAAUUGAGAUUGUAUACAUUUAUUUUUUUGAAAAAUAUGAAUGAAAAUAGCUUCCAGAAUUUGAUGGUUCUGGACAACAAAUGAGAUUGUGGCAAAGUAGAGAUUAAAAUAUGUAUUUGAGCUGGGGGAUUUGAAUAUCGUUGAGUUUCAGAUGUUGGAAAUUUGGGGUUUUGCAAUUUUGUUAUUUGAAAAUGAUCAAGUCUUGUCAGUUUGUGCCCUCUUUCCCCAUGUUCCCUGGGGAGAAGGGGCAGAGUGGGAAUGCCACUGGUUCUGUGCCACAGCACGCAAGAAUUAGAAUUCUACAGACUCUAGCUCUAUACGUAGUGAGGACCCAGAUUUAGAGAAACUGACCAAUAUUUAUCUCCGCAUUUGUGUGUGUGUCCAACUCUAGGCCAAUAAACCAACGAGACAAAUGAACUGUGCACUGUGCUCCACAGUGGGAUGCCAGGUGCUGUCACUUAUGUGGCUGGUGGGUCUGGGGAAAGACAUGGUGUCCUUGUCCCACAGGGAUCCUGGGAGUUGUACUGCUAUUCCCCCUCUUAAGACAACUUUCAGCAGUUAAGUAGGUGCCAGGCUUGCUGAUUAGGAGCUUCACUGUAAUUGCUGUAGCCACUAGGUCCCAGCUGACUUUCAUCUGACCUCCAGGCAGAAACAUUAACUCAAUUCACCUCAUAUAGCCUUCUGUGUACAAUCCUGGGUACAAGAUUGGUUCCUUGAACAGUUUUGCCUUAAGCCAGGUCCACCCCUUUUCCCUUUUGAAAGUAAACUAAGGCACAAAAUGUGUGAUGGCCAUAAGAGACAUGACCUUUUCCCACUCUUUUUUUUUGGUACCGGAGAGCGAAACUUGGGACCUUGCUCUGGUGAGGCAGGUGGCAGCACUACUGAGCUAAAUCCCUGGCCCAUCCUCUUCCCACUCUUAACCUUCCCAUUGACUUCAUCUCUUCCCACCCUUCCUUCCACUAUAUCUUUUCUAGUAUUAUGGAAGAAUAGACAGGUAAAAUGAAGUUCAUUAGUGAAUGGGGACUUUGCAGAAUUUUGGCACAAAUACCUUUACCAUAGCAGGCAGCCACUAAUCAGUAAGUUGCUGCCAAUAGAAUCAAUUGCAGCAUUAUUAUAGUUUUAAAUUUUUUUUUUCAGAGAAGCCAGAAAUCCAAAUGUCUCAGUAAAAUAUCAAAAACAAUUUUUUUUUGAGAAAGGGUUUUGCUAUGUAGUUCAAGCUGGCCUUGAACUCAUGGUGAUCUUCCUGCCUCAGCCUCCUGAGUGCUGGGAAUACACACAAGUGCCACCAUGCCCAGCUUCCAAAAUUUAAAAGUAGUAAGGUAACUGAAAAGUGAAACUGUACAGGCCAACAACAGGGGCCAACCAAAACACACCCAUUGGUAAACUCUGAUAUAUAUUAUCAGGGUAUAUACUACGGGACAUAUACUUUUAUUAGCUUCAUUUUACAGAUGUGGAAGCUGAUAUACAAAGCAGUUUGGUAGUUUGAGCACCAAAGGUUGAAGUUGAAUGGGAGUCUUUAAAAUGCUUUUCUCUUUUCACAUUACAAAUACAGCCUUUUAGAAAACCUUUUUUCCUCCCCAUCCUAAAUGUACUCAUUACAAAAGAUAAUACAUUACAGAAAGGUAAAAAAGAAAAAUGUCUAGUCCCAACAUGCAAAUGUAGGCCCUAUUAAUUGGUGUAUUUCCUUCCAGAAAUUUCCCCCUCUGCAUUCAACAAAUGUUCAGGACUUACUGUGGGGUCAGGACCUCUGCAAGGAGCUGGGACAUGAUAAUGAACAAGACAUUUGCUGCCUUCAUAAGGCUUACAGUCUAGUUCAUGCUCUUUGUUCUGUAUCAUUGGGCACGGAGGUGUAGAUAUCCAAAGGAACUUCCUCAAUACUCCAGAGAGUAAAUAGCUGAUAUGCACGUAAGAUGGGUCCAAGGUAUUCUGCCUAGCCCACAGAGACGAAAUAAUAGGGCUGGAUUUCUAUUGAAGGUAGAGUGGGAUAGGACCAAACUCUGAGUUCAACUGGCUAGGACUUGGAACUUGGCCCUCCAGUCUUCAAGGAAAAGGGUCGGGAGGAGGCAAGUGGUAGGUGGCAUCUAGGAAAAUGACAAGGGUCCCGACGCUCGUGAAGAUGAUGAAGGUCCACAGGAAAAGGGCGAUCCACUACCAUGGCCACAAACUGCCAAUCCUCCUUGAGCUGGGAUUAGGCAGAGGAAGCCUCUUGAGCUCCAGGCCUUGACCGCAGAGGAGCCCACCCCCACAGCUCUGUACCCUACUGGGGUCUUUUUACCCCGAGUCUGGGAAAAGUUCCCGCAGUGCCAGAGAGACUUGGGCUUUGUACGCGAGCAAAUAAUCAGUGGGAAAGUAGGGGGCGGGACCACAUGCGCAAACCUCCAAUCGGAAGUGGAGUGGGGCGGGGGGGGAGACAGGGACGGACGGACCUGAAUUUAGGGGUGGAGCCAAAGUCACAGAGGCCCUCCCCUGUUCCACCCUCAUUGGACUUACUGCAUCGUACUCCUCCUGUUCGCGCAGCUGUCGAGCGAUGUAGCUGAUCGAGGAAACAGCCUCGCGUAGCUCAGGAGGCAGCCCUACCACUGCUCGGUUUGGACCAUGGAUAAAUCGUCGCAGGUCCGGAGCAGACAGUUCAGGCUGGAACCUGGAAAAGGCAUGACUGGCCACGCACCGCGUACGAAGACAGAACAGCCCGCCCUAGUUACCUAGCCCACACCCCAACUGCCUCUUCCAGCAACCUGCCAUUUCCCAAAACUCGAGAGGGCCCUUCAGGGAUCGCCAGCGGCGAUCUCUCCAGCCUUCUGCAACUCCAUCCACCCGUCUAAUUUUUAGUUGCCCCCACUCAAAGCAAGCAGCUGAAGAGUACUACAACUCCCAUGAUGCUCGACCACAAUAUCUUCUGUAAGCAUGAGCUCCCAGCUUCUGCACAGUCUUCUGGGAACUGUAGUUCCCUCUCUCACUUUCAUGUGGAUGAUGGGUGUAGCUCCUACCUGUUGGGUUUAGGGAAGAGAAAAUUACUCCGCGGCUUCCGAAUGAAAUAUUCAUCUGUUCCCCGACCCCAGCCACUUCCUGUCGAAAAAGAGUGAGGGGGCUCUGGCAGCUGGUCUCUCUCAGGUUUCGGUCUCUUCAGACCCAGGUACAGAGGGAGCUUGUGGAUGAAGAUCUGCAGAGUAGAAGAUGCGUAUUGGAAGGGGCUGUUAUGCAUUCAUAUUACAAGAGAAGCAGCCAACCACCGCCACUCCACGUGCCCAUUCUGGCACAUGUGUGCACAGGGUCCGACAGAGGUACACAGACAAAAAAUGCAAUCCUUAAGCCUUAUGAGGUGUGUGUGUGUGUGUGUG
rnacentral:lncRNA from 1 species